rnacentral:rRNA from 1 species
GUGCCAGCAGCCGCGGUAAUACAGAGGUCUCAAGCGUUGUUCGGAUUCAUUGGGCGUAAAGGGUGCGUAGGUGGCAAGGUAAGUCGGGUGUGAAAUCCCGGGGCUCAACCCUGGAACUGCACUCGAUACUGCCAUGCUCGAGUACUGGAGAGGAGACUGGAAUUUACGGUGUAGCAGUGAAAUGCGUAGAUAUCGUAAGGAAGACCAGUGGCGAAGGCGAGUCUCUGGACAGUUACUGACACUGAGGCACGAAGGCCAGGGGAGCAAACGGGAUUAGAAACCCUAGUAGUCC